rnacentral:tRNA from 1 species
CUUGGACUGGCCGAGGAUGGUGGCGGCGUUGAUGGUGUCGCGCCACGGCCCGGCGAUCAGGUCGGCGGCCCGGAGC